ensembl:lncRNA
GGGCAAUGCUGCCGAUUCCCAAUGAAACCACUAUAAGUGGAGAAGUUCUCAGUCUCUAGGGACAUGAAUGCACAAGAUGAAUGUCCCUCCCACCUUUAUGAUGGCUGCUAAGUACUAAGCUGCUCUGCCGUGUGAAAGCUAGGACUUUACCUCAACUGAAUUCACAGAAACCUAUUUUAGCUGCUGAAUAAUCUGAAGCCCACAAGACUGCUAGCAGCAGCAACAUCACUGAAUUCUGACAUCUUCCAGUGUCACUGAAGAGUCAUUCUCACGUUCUGCUCUUCAAUAGCACCUGGUGGUGGACUUUGAUGAAGGAAAAAAACCUCUGGACAUUCUGGAAAAAAAUCUAUUGAAUAAAUCCAACAACUUCUGUGAUCCUGCAACAGCUACAAAGUCUGCACACAUAAAUAAAUUGAUUUAUGGACUUUUGUGCGUUCUGUAGAGGAACCAUUGAUUGCAUAUAUUGUCAGUGCAAUGUAUAGGCUCAUCUCCAAAUGUACCCAACCUCUGUUCAUGCUAUGAAGGAGUGGAGUGUUGGGGAACUGUUAGGUCGUGGCUUGAAUUGGUGAUUGAACACCUGCUGAAAGGGUGUGGCUGGCCCAGGGAUCACAGGAAAAGUUCUGGCACCUGUGCUCCCAGUGAGACCAGAAUAGGUAGAACAACCCUGGGCUCAUAUAAGGGCCAACCACUGAUGAGAGUGGCUCUUUGUCCUAGGCUGCUUUCUGAGAAGGGGUGCUGUAUAGCUAGAGACCCCCCUUCACCAGUUGGGUGAGUUCAUCUCUCCUUUUGUAUGAUUAUAGGCCUAUUUGUGACUACUUUGCCUGGUAUCAUUGAGAACCUGUCAGAAGAAAUUUUGCUUCUUUGUGAGCAGAACAGACACCACAGCAGCAGUUCACUGUCAUAGAAUCACAGAAGGGCUGAGGCUGUCCAAUGGAACACCCAGACCAAGGUGCCUGAGACAGGAUUUUGAAGAUCCUGAAGGAGGAGAUCCACAGCCUCUGGGUCCCUGUGUCACUGCUCCAUUGCCUGCACAGCACUGAAGUGCUGUGUAACGGUCAGAGGCAGCCUCCUGUGUUCUACUUUUUUCCCUGAACUUCUUGUCUUGGCACUGGACAGAGCCUGACUGUCCUCUGGUCACUAUCCUUUUGGUAUUUACGGACAGUGAUGACAACCCCAUGAGCCUUCUCUUCUCCAGGUUGAGCAGUUCCAGAUCUCCUUGCCUCACCUCACAGGAAAGAUGGCCCAGUCCAUCAGUUGUCUUUGUGACCCUUUGCUGGACUCACUCCAGUAUGUUCAGGUUUCUCUUUUAGAGGGAAGUUCAGAACUGGACCUAGGACUCCAAGUGUGGCCUCGUUAGCGAUGAACACUAGAGAAGGAUCGCCUCACUCUACCUGCUGACAGCACUCCUCCUAAUACAGACAAGUGUACGGGUAAAGUCACAUAGCCAGCUCAUGUUCAGAAGAUCCAUGGAAUCUUUUGGUUUUCUUAGGGCACGUGUAACCUGCAGUACUCAAGAGCUUCUGUUUAAAUAGCCUUUCUGCACCACCUAUAUUGGUCAGAGGAGGGAAACUUUUAACUUUCCAAGUUGAUCUCUGCCACAGAACAGAUCCUCUGCCUGCCCUGUAUUCUGGUGAACAAUGUGUACAGUGUUUCAUGUUCCAGAAGGAGAUGGAUGAAGGGUUCCAGGAAACUGAAGUGCUUCUGAGAGCCCUGUGCUGCUCCUGUACACGUUUAAUGACUCUAAAGGAAAGCAGGUUCUAUAAAAUGUCCUACAGUUUCAUCUGUGUUUCUGAAAUGCAGCAGCAUUUGCUUGAUGUUACAGCAUGAACUUUAGCCCAGCUGGGUAGUUUGUCUUCAAGCAACACAAAUGCCUGACUGUCAGAAAUACCUUCAAUAUUAAACUCUGUGCCUUUAAGGGGGGUACAUUUGGCAUUAAACAGACUUACCAGCUAAUGAAUUUCUCAAGUUACAAGAAUAAUGGCCUUUUUAAUCUUAGCAAGAAUAAUUAAACAGACAUUUGUUAUUAAUGAUGUUGUUAAUGGCAGCAGAUAUUGAAUUUUCUCUGUAGAUAUCAUAAAGUUGUGUGGUGAUUUUUUUGGAGGUUUUUGUUAACUUGAUUGGGCAGUGAAGCUAAAAAUGUAGAAUAUAAUUUUUUCUUCCUUCUGGAGGUAUUAAUUUUUGCCACAUAUCUAGAAGACUCUUCUUUGCCUUCAUUUUAUUCUUAUUGGAGAUCCUUGCCUUUGCCUUCCUUCACUGGCUAAUCUGAUAGCAAACAGACUAGGUCAGCCUUCUACCACCUGUGAGUAGCCUGGAAUGAUUCCUGUAGGAAGGAAUGUGAAUGGCAGCAACUAUUUCUGCAGUCCUUACACUGGGUUUGCUGAAAGUUCUUGUUUGUGUUUUGCCUCAGGGAAAUAUGAGUUUGUUGCAUGUCCAGGGACCAUGCCGAUCUGUGCUCUCCCCUGUUCUCUGAUUGUCUGGGAUUGCAUGCAAAUACUGACAGGGUGCAACGCAUUCUCCAGGAAGCAGUUACUCAACCCUGGUCAAUGCUGUGGAGCAGUCAGCAGCUCCAGCGGUGUCCCUGUGGAGGAGUCUCCUUCACUCUGCUUCUCUUACACAUUCAUUUUCUGUACUAUGGUUUCAGAUAUCCCUAUGCUAGGCUUCCUGCUCAUUGCUUUUUCCCUUGGUUUGUGGAAAUCACUUGUCAGUAGUUAUGGUAAUCACAACAUCUUGUGGUCUUUCCUUUACUAGUCCUCAGGGAAAUGACAUGUGGGUUUAUUAGUGUGUGGGUUUCUCAGACCUUUGUGAUGGGAAGACAAUUUAAUCAGAAUAAUUUUUCCAUGAAAUGAAGGCCUUUUCUGACCAGGCUUAGAAACAGCUUUUUCAGUGGCAUGGGACCCUGCUUGACUCAUGUGCCUUUCACAUCUUAAUUUCUCCUGAGAAAAAUGCUUUACAAAAGCUUUAAGAAAUCCUCUGAAGUCCAGAGACCAGGAUUUGUCUGCUUUUGGAUUGUGUCUGUCAGUGGCUGCUUUCCAAGCUCUCAUGUUUCUGUGAAUUCCAGUUUACACCUUUUAAAAGCACUCCUUCUGAUUUGGCUUGCUCUCCUCCUGGGUUUGCUCUCUGCUCCCAGCCCGUUCCAAUCACAUGCAAAACCUGCAGCUUCUGCUGGUCCUCCAAGUAUUACUUUACAUUUUAAAGAAGGGGAAAACCCCCUAAGCAAGACAAAGAGCCCUGGCAUUAGUUGCUAAUUUCCCUUUCUCUGUCAAGAUUAUGUUAGUAGCUCUGAGUAAUUUGGUCUGAUUUUCUCAGGGGACUAGGACUGAAAUAAUGCAAUGUUUAUUUUUAUACAAAUUCUCACAGUGCUACAAUGUUUCAGAGACUUCCUGGGAUGUUUCUAGUUUUUUUUUUCACAGACGAAAAGGCUGUUCUCAGAGGUAGCUCCUUCAUGUAAACCUAAAAAUGGCACUUUCCCACAAUACAGCUUAUCAGGAAGUUUAAAGUUCAGUAGUCUCUCUCUCGCUCUCUCUCCCUGUCUCACACACAUGAAAGUAAAGAAUAAAAAAUGAAGGGGCUGUUCCAGUUCUGCUGAGAGUUGCUUUUCAAUCAUACUGUUUCAGUGUGCUGACUGAUCAUAAUGGCUUGGUGGGGCCUGUGAUGGCCUAACAACAGAAUGAGGCAACAUUUGUGGAGAAAUAUAGCCACUUUUAUUCAAUAAAUUGUGAUGGAUUCACUCAGUGAGUUACGAGUGCUCAUAACGCUGCUCUUGCUUACACACAUAUGGAUAUGGGCAUAAAGCUAACCUCACUACUAAGGCAUUAAAAUUGGAAUGUCAUGAUUCUGCUGCCUCCUGAGUGUCUGAAAUGGUUUGAUUAGGAAUAACUAAG